GUGAGGAAUAUUGCGCAAUGGAGGCAACUCUGACGCAGCCAUGCCGCGUGCAGGAAGAAGGCGCUACGCGUUGUAAACUGCUUUUAACCGGGAAGAAACCCCAGGACGUGUCCUGGGUUGACGGUACCGGAGGAAUAAGCACCGGCUAACUUCGUGCCAGCAGCCGCGGUAAUACGAAGGGUGCAAGCGUUAUCCGGAUUCAUUGGGUUUAAAGGGUGCGUAGGCGGAGCGUUAAGUCAGUGGUGAAAUCCUGCAGCUUAACUGUAGACUUGCCAUUGAUACUGGCGCGCUUGAGUGCGCUUGAAGUGGGUGGAAUGUGCCGUGUAGCGGUGAAAUGCUUAGAUAUGGCACAGAACACCAAUUGCGAAGGCAGCUCACUAAGGCGAUACUGACGCUGAGGCACGAAAGCGUGGGGAUCGAACAGGAUUAGAAACCCGGGUAGUCC
rnacentral:rRNA from 1 species